ACGACUCUCGGCAACGGAUAUCUCGGCUCUCGCAUCGAUGAAGAACGUAGCGAAAUGCGAUACUUGGUGUGAAUUGCAGAAUCCCGUGAACCAUCGAGUCUUUGAACGCAAGUUGCGCUUGAAGCCAUUAGGCUGAAGGCACGUCUGCCUGGGCGUCUCGC
rnacentral:rRNA from 4 species